rnacentral:rRNA from 1 species
UACGAAGGGUGCAAGCGUUACUCGGAAUUACUGGGCGUAAAGCGUGCGUAGGUGGUUUGUUAAGUCUGCUGUGAAAGCCCCGGGCUCAACCUGGGAAUGGCAGUGGAUACUGGCAAGCUAGAGUGCGGUAGAGGGUAGUGGAAUUCCCGGUGUAGCGGUGAAAUGCGUAGAGAUCGGGAGGAACACCAGUGGCGAAGGCGGCUACCUGGGACGGUACUGGACGCGUG